CGGGAAAUGGCUCAACUUGGUAGAGCACUUGGUUUGGGACCAAGGGGUUGCAGGUUCAAAUCCUGUCUUCCCGACCA
rnacentral:tRNA from 1 species